AGUGAACGCUGGCGGUAGGCCUAACACAUGCAAGUCGAACGGCAGCACAGUAAGAGCUUGCUCUUAUGGGUGGCGAGUGGCGGACGGGUGAGGAAUACAUCGGAAUCUACUUUUUCGUGGGGGAUAACGUAGGGAAACUUACGCUAAUACCGCAUACGACCUUCGGGUGAAAGCAGGGGACCUUCGGGCCUUGCGCGGAUAGAUGAGCCGAUGUCGGAUUAGCUAGUUGGCGGGGUAAAGGCCCACCAAGGCGACGAUCCGUAGCUGGUCUGAGAGGAUGAUCAGCCACACUGGAACUGAGACACGGUCCAGACUCCUACGGGAGGCAGCAGUGGGGAAUAUUGGACAAUGGGCGCAAGCCUGAUCCAGCCAUACCGCGUGGGUGAAGAAGGCCUUCGGGUUGUAAAGCCCUUUUGUUGGGAAAGAAAAGCAGUCGAUUAAUACUCGGUUGUUCUGACGGUACCCAAAGAAUAAGCACCGGCUAACUUCGUGCCAGCAGCCGCGGUAAUACGAAGGGUGCAAGCGUUACUCGGAAUUACUGGGCGUAAAGCGUGCGUAGGUGGUUGUUUAAGUCUGUUGUGAAAGCCCUGGGCUCAACCUGGGAAUUGCAGUGGAUACUGGGCGACUAGAGUGUGGUAGAGGGUAGUGGAAUUCCCGGU
rnacentral:rRNA from 1 species